rnacentral:lncRNA from 1 species
CCUGCGCUCUUCACCACCUAUACUUACUCUUGAUGAUUAUAAUGACUUCUAAUAAUGGUUAACAUUUACGAGGUACCGGGCCCUGUGCUAAACUUUUUAUUUAUCGCCGCUUCGGUUAAUACGGAUAACCAUUAUCAGCCAUCUUGCAGAUGGAAAAACUAAGUCUUGUCAGCACGUCCGGCUUCCAGGCACCCGCCUUUAACACGUGCGAUACCAUCUGGCUUCCAGAAAAGCCCAACAGAAGUGAGAUGAGGCCGACUGCCUGGAUUAGUUCAUCGGGAAGCGGGUGAGGGUAAAAGCCUUUCUCGUUUCCGCAUUUUAAUGACGCAGAAAGGUACCUGUGGGGAUUAUCCCAUCUCAGGGCAGAUGAGGAAGCCAAGGUUCGGGGCGCGGAGCCCCAGAGGAGAACGCCGACCGCGGCCCGGACUUAGAGAUUAGGCCGCAGGGGAGCGGGGCCUCGAGAGACUACGACCAUUGCUCCACUUACUCACCGAGAAGCCGUCGCCGCCCGUAGUUUUCGACUUUCCCGCCAGGCCCGACGCCGCUCUGACGCCACCGAGGCGCGCCAUGACGUGACGCCAACUUCCGCGCCGGAAGUGGAAGGCCGGGCAGCCCAGCUGAAGGCAAUAAGCUGGGCUCACCGCUGCAGCAGAGUUCUGUGCUAGCCGGGCAUAGGGGCGAGAGAAGGCCCAGAGGCGACGUCAGAGAGAAGCAACUGCGCCCCGGUGAAGAGAAGCUCGCCCAUCACCGGCUGGGAGCCAGCUUUCAGUGAAGAUGGCAGGGCCAGAACUGUUGCUUGACUCCAACAUCUGCCUCUGGGUGGUCCUACCCAUCGUUAUCACUCUUCGUAGACAUGAUCCGCCACUACGUGUCCAUCCUGCUGGAGAGCGACAAGAAGCUCACCCAGGAACAAGUAUCUGACAGGGGACGAGGCACCCACAGUCCCUCUCCCAUAAGCCUGCCAAGAAGAUUGAUGUGGCCCGUGUAACCUUUGACCUGUACAAGCUGAACCCACAGGACUUCAUUGGCUGCCUGAACAUGAAGGCGACUUUUUAUGAUACGUACUCCCUUUCCUAUGAUCUGCACUGCUGUGGGGCCAAACGCAUCAUGAAGGAAGCUCUCCACUGGGCCCUUUUCAGCAUGCAAGCCACGGGCCACGUGCUGCUUCACCUCCUGUUACCUGCAGCAGCUCCUCGAUGCCACAGAGGACGGGCAUCCCCCCAAGGGCAAGGCCUCAUCCCUCAUCCCGACCUGUCUGAAGAUACUGCAGUGAAAGCCCAAGCCCUAGCUUUCCCCAGUGAAGGACUAGACUAGGGGCCCCACGCUCAACUGGUAGUGGCCACAAGCCUGGCAGCUGUAGAGCCGCUAACCUCCCGACACCUCCCUCACCACACAGGACCCUGAGUGAGGAGGAGGGGCUGGAAACCUGGGAUGGGUUGGCCAAAGGAGAACCUCAGGCUCCUGGCCUGGCCCAGCUCCUUCCUGCCCAAGGUAGCUUAGCCCAUCCAGACUGGUCCUGAAGUCUGUCCCUCCAUUGGCAUGAAGUCUGCCCCUCAGCAGUCCGGCCUCACAGGCUGUACUUUCAUGGUGCUCUCUACCUUCUGGCCCCCAUCCCAGAACAUUCGUGAGUGAAUUCGCAAGCAUACUAGCAUGUGAUAUUAGGGAGUUUGCAAUAAAUUAU